GAUGAACGCUGGCGGCGUGUCUAAGGCAUGCAAGUCGAAUGGGUUAGACCCAUGGCAAACGGGUGAGUAACACAUUGGUAACCUACCUCGAAGUGUGGCAUAAACCGGCGAAAGUCGGAAUAAUUCCACAUGUGCUCUGAUAACUUAAGUUAUCAGCGUAAAGAUUUAUCGCUUCGAGAGGGGCCUAUGGCUUAUCAGCUAGUUGGUAAGGUAAAAGCUUACCAAGGCUACGACGAGUAGCGGGCGUGAGAGCGUGACCCGCCUCACUGGGACUGAGACACUGCCCAGACUCCUACGGGAGGCUGCAGUCAAGAAUAUUCCCCAAUGGUCGAAAGACUGAGGGAGCGACGCCGCGUGAUUGAAGAAGCCCUUCGGGGUGUAAAGAUCUUUUAUUAGGGACGAACAAAUGACGGUACCUAAUGAAUAAGGGGCUGCUAAACUCGUGCCAGCAGCAGCGGUAAUACGAGUGCCCCGAGCGUUAUCCGGAUUUAUUGGGCGUAAAGCGUCUGUAGGCGUUUUGGAAAGUUUUUCGUCAAAUCCCAGUGCUCAACAUUGGGACUGCGUAAAAUACUUCCAAAAUAGAGGGUGGGAGAGGCAGAUGGAAUUGCCGGUGUAGCGGUAAAAUGCGUUAAUAUCGGCAAGAACACCAAAUGCGAAGGCUUUCUACUAGAACAUUUCUGACGCUGAGAGACGAAAGCGUGGGUAGCGAAUGGGAUUAGAUACCCCAGUAGUCCACGCCGUAAACGAUGGAUGCUUGACAUUGGCAGUUUCGACCCUGUCAGUGUCGUUUAACCAAGCUAACGCAUUAAGCAUCCCGCCUGGGUAGUACGAGCGCAAGCUUAAAACUCAAAGGAAUUGACGGGGACCCGCACAAGCGGUGGAGCAUGUGGUUUAAUUCGAUAAUAAGCGAGGAACCUCACCAGGACUUGACAUAUAGCUGCAAAUCCCGUGAAACCGGGACUCCUUCGAGGGUGUAUCACAGGUGCUGCAUGGUUGUCGUCAGCUCGUGUCGUGAGAUGUACCGUUAAGUCGGGUAACGAGCGCAACCCCUACUCUGUGUUAAAUCGUUCACAGAGAACUGCCAGUUUAUCACUGGAGGAAGGCGGGGACGACGUCAAAUCAGCAUGGCUUUUACGCCCUGGGCGACACACGUGCUACAAUGGCCAAUACAAUGGGUCGCCAAGUCGAAAGACGGAGCUAAUCCCAUCAAAAUUGGUCUCAGUUCGGAUUGAGGUCUGAAACUCGACCUCAUGAAGUUGGAAUCGCUAGUAACCGCGUAUCAGCCAUGGCGCGGUGAAUACGUUCUCGGGUCUU
rnacentral:rRNA from 1 species